rnacentral:misc_RNA from 1 species
GAAAUGCGAUAAGUAGUGUGAAUUGCAGAAUUCAGUGAAUCAUCGAAUCUUUGAACGCACAUUGCGCCCUAUGGUAUUCCGUAGGGCAUGCCUGUUCGAGCGUCAUUUACACCUUCAAGCCUUGCUUGGUGUUGGGUGACUGUGGCCCCUUUGGGGCCACUCGCCUUAAAGUCAUUGGCGGCCGGUUCGUUGGCUUUGUAGCGCAGUACAAUUGCGUCCUCGAAGCCGCUGGACCAGCUCCCAGAAGCUAAUUUUAAAUGUUUGACCUCGAAUCAGGUAGGGAUACCCGCUGAACUUAAGC